rnacentral:rRNA from 1 species
GACGAACGCUGGCGGCGUGCUUAACACAUGCAAGUCGAACGAAGUGGCGAACGGGUGAGUAACGCGUAAUCAACCUGCCCUUCAGAGGGGGUCAACAGUUGGAAACGACUGCUAAUACACCAUACUGAAGGAGGGGUUUGCGUCUGAUUAGCUAGUUGGAGGGGUAACGGCCCACCAAGGCGAUGAUCAGUGGCCGGUCUGGGAGGAUGAACGGCCACAUGGGGACUGAGACACGGCCCAGACUCCUACGGGAGGCAGCAGUGGGGAAUCUUCCGCAAUGGACGAAAGUCUGACGGAGCAACGCCGCGGUAAUUC